rnacentral:lncRNA from 1 species
AUGCUACGAAGCAAUUUCACAAAGAUGAAGAAGAGUGUUUUUAGUACUAACGACGUACCUGGGAGAAAAUGGCAGGGUUUUCUUUACGUAGUCAAGCAAGCGUUGGCAAGGAACACUAUCAGCAACCCAUGUAUGUCAGACAAUGGCGGGCCUUUACGUACUGCUACUGAGCAUGCGCACUCUUCUCUAAUCAGCGCACAGUCCCAUUCUACAGUUGGGGGCUCCGGAUACAGAGAGCAGAGCUGGGUAUUGCUGGUGAUUUAGAAAGCUGAGGCGCUGGGGCCUUCUAAAGCUGUACAUCAGCGUGCUCCCGGAAGCUGAUAGCAUGCUCCCAGAAGCCUAGAGUGUGCUCCCGGAAGCCGGAAAGGCGCCACAGAACACACACCUUCUUUAAGUCAGAACAUCAACCGUGCCUCUGUUGAACAGGGGAAAUUUGCCGGGCGUGGUGGUGCAAGCCUUUAAUCCCAGCACUCGGGAGGCAGAGGCAGGCGGAUUCUGAGUUCGAGGCCAGCCUGGUCUACAAAGUGAGUUCCAGGACAGCCAGGGCUACACAGAGAAACCCUGCCCCCCCCCUGCCAACUCCCCCCCCCCAAAAAAAACCCAAAAAAAAAGAAAAGGGGGGGGGGAAAUUACUAAACACUUUAACAUCUCAUGAAUAUCAUUCAGUUUCAGUUCAGAGGGUACCAAGCUUAUAUGCUACAGGCAGUGUGUUCCUCCUUGGAAAUUUAUGCUAUACUUUAUCCCUUUCAGGGAAUCGGGGAUUCAGUUCCUAUUUGCUGGAUAUGCCACAGGAUCCUACAAACCAUUUUUAAAAUGUAAGAGCCUUCCUUUGAGUUUAUUUUCUAAAGAUCUUUGCAGGCUCCGGAGCCUAUGGGUUGAAAGGCUUGGAUCUAGUGCAGUGGUUAUCAGCCUGUAGGUUGUGACUCCUUUGAGGCCGAGUAUUUGAUAUCCCGAGUAUCAGAUAUUUAAAUUAUGAUUCAUAACAGUAGCAGAAUUACAGUUCUGAAGUAGCAACAAAAUAAUUUUAUGGUUGGGAGUCACCACAACAGGAGGAACUGUAUCAAAGGGUCCUAAUGUUAGGAAGGUUGACCCCUGCUAACAUGCUACGACUGAUUUUCUGUGUAUCUGAAUAUGUAACAGGAGUGAUACAAAAGAAAUACCUUGUGGUGGCUGCCAAGAGACAAGGAGAUGCCUCUUCUGGACACAGUGACAACCUCAGCAUCUAUACACAUGAGUUGGAUAUUGAAAACUGCUAUAGAAUUGUGCACUUAAAUGAUCUCGGGGGUCACGACCUCCCUGAGCAUCUGCAUCCUUCCUGUGAGAUGUGAUUAAUGACAUUCACUGCCAAGGGUACUACAGAGAUUCAACAUGAUUAUAUAUAAGAAAUGUGUAGCAUAGACUACUAUAGUAUGUUCUUAUUAAAUCUUAACUAUUAUCAUUCUAUUUAAACUUCCACAAAUGUAGGUCUAGAUAAUUUCACAGUUAUUUGGGGGGGGCAGUAUAAAGCCAUUUUAAUUAUUUAUUUAUUCACCUUUAAAAAAAGCAUUUAUUUUUACUUCAUGCGCAUUGAUGUUUUGCCAGCAUGCAUGUCUGUGUGAGGGUGUUGGAUCUCCUAUUCUCCAAGAACUAGAGUUACAGUCAGUUGGGAGCCACUGUGUGGUUGCUGGGAAUUGAACCUGCGUCCUCUGGAAGAGCAGCCAGUGCUCUUAAAUGCCAUGCCAUCUCUCCAGCCUCAAUUUAUUUUCUUUUAAAAACAGGGUCUUAUAUGACGCAAUCUGGCCUUGAACUUGUUAUCAUCCUGCCUCAACCCACAGAUUCUAGGGUUACAGGCAUGUCUACCAUACACCAUUUUUCUUUUCAUCUAUUCAUGUCUUGCAUGUGUAUGUAGUGUGAUGCUCUCUUAUAUGUGUGCAUAUGGGUGUGUAGACACGUGUGGGCAUACAAGUGUAGACCCAAAGUCCAUGUGAGAUAAUGCUCCUUGAUUGCUCUUUACCUCAUGUAUCGGAACAGGGUCUCUCACUGAGUCUGGAAUUCAGAGUUCCAGCUUGUCCAUUGGGUCCUCUGUCUCGGCCUCCUGAGUGCUGGGAUUGCAGGUGGCUGUCACACUGGACUGGCUUUUAUGAGGGUUAGCACUCACACUUAUAAAGCAAGCAGUUUAUCCAUAGAACCGUCUCUCCAGCCCCAAUGUAUUUAUUUAUCACGACAUUUUCCUCGGCUAGGGAUGAGGAUGAGUUGGUAGAGCAGUUGAGUAGCUUGUAAGAGGCCAUCGGAUCACUCCCGGUGCACUUGGGAGGUGCAAACCCGGGGAUCAGAAGUUAAAGGCUACACUCAGGCGACGCGGUGAGUUUGAGGCUACCCUGGGCAGUGUAGGACACCGACUCCAAAACCAACCAACCAAAGCCUCAAAUGGAAACAGACAAAAUAAUUAAAUAAAUAAAGUAAGCCUCAAGAUCCA